AUGAACGCUAGCUACAGGCUUAACACAUGCAAGUCGAGGGGCAGCAUGGUCUUAGCUUGCUAAGGCCGAUGGCGACCGGCGCACGGGUGAGUAACACGUAUCCAACCUGCCGUCUACUCUUGGACAGCCUUCUGAAAGGAAGAUUAAUACAAGAUGGCAUCAUGAGUCCGCAUGUUCACAUGAUUAAAGGUAUUCCGGUAGACGAUGGGGAUGCGUUCCAUUAGAUAGUAGGCGGGGUAACGGCCCACCUAGUCUUCGAUGGAUAGGGGUUCUGAGAGGAAGGUCCCCCACAUUGGAACUGAGACACGGUCCAAACUCCUACGGGAGGCAGCAGUGAGGAAUAUUGGUCAAUGGGCGAGAGCCUGAACCAGCCAAGUAGCGUGAAGGAUGACUGCCCUAUGGGUUGUAAACUUCUUUUAUAAAGGAAUAAAGUCGGGUAUGCAUACCCGUUUGCAUGUACUUUAUGAAUAAGGAUCGGCUAACUCCGUGCCAGCAGCCGCGGUAAUACGGAGGAUCCGAGCGUUAUCCGGAUUUAUUGGGUUUAAAGGGAGCGUAGAUGGAUGUUUAAGUCAGUUGUGAAAGUUUGCGGCUCAACCGUAAAAUUGCAGUUGAUACUGGAUAUCUUGAGUGCAGUUGAGGCAGGCGGAAUUCGUGGUGUAGCGGUGAAAUGCUUAGAUAUCACGAAGAACUCCGAUUGCGAAGGCAGCCUGCUAAGCUGCAACUGACAUUGAGGCUCGAAAGUGUGGGUAUCAAACAGGAGUAGAUACCCUGGUAGUCCACACGGUAAACGAUGAAUACUCGCUGUUUGCGAUAUACAGCAAGCGGCCAAGCGAAAGCGUUAAGUAUUCCACCUGGGGAGUACGCCGGCAACGGUGAAACUCAAAGGAAUUGACGGGGGCCCGCACAAGCGGAGGAACAUGUGGUUUAAUUCGAUGAUACGCGAGGAACCUUACCCGGGCUUAAAUUGCAGAUGAAUUACGGUGAAAGCCGUAAGCCGCAAGGCAUCUGUGAAGGUGCUGCAUGGUUGUCGUCAGCUCGUGCCGUGAGGUGUCGGCUUAAGUGCCAUAACGAGCGCAACCCUUGUUGUCAGUUACUAACAGGUUCCGCUGAGGACUCUGACAAGACUGCCAUCGUAAGAUGUGAGGAAGGUGGGGAUGACGUCAAAUCAGCACGGCCCUUACGUCCGGGGCUACACACGUGUUACAAUGGGGGGUACAGAGGGCCGCUACCACGCGAGUGGAUGCCAAUCCCAAAAACCUCUCUCAGUUCGGACUGGAGUCUGCAACCCGACUCCACGAAGCUGGAUUCGCUAGUAAUCGCGCAUCAGCCACGGCGCGGUGAAUACGUUCCCGGGCCUUGUACACACCGCCCGUCAAGCCAUGGGAGCCGGGGGUACCUGAAGUGCGUAACCGCGAGGAGCGCCCUAGGGUAAAACUGGUGACUGGGGCU
rnacentral:rRNA from 1 species